AGUGAACGCUGGCGGCAGGCCUAACACAUGCAAGUCGAGCGGCAGCGGGUCCUUCGGGAUGCCGGCGAGCGGCGGACGGGUGAGGAAUGCGUCGGAAUCUGCCUUUUUGUGGGGGAUAACGUAGGGAAACUUACGCUAAUACCGCAUACGACCUACGGGUGAAAGUGGGGGACCGCAAGGCCUCACGCAGAAAGAUGAGCCGACGUCGGAUUAGCUAGUUGGCGGGGUAAAGGCCCACCAAGGCGACGAUCCGUAGCUGGUCUGAGUGGCUGAUCAGCCACACUGGAACUGAGACACGGUCCAGACUCCUACGGGAGGCAGCAGUGGGGAAUAUUGGACAAUGGGCGCAAGCCUGAUCCAGCCAUGCCGCGUGUGUGAAGAAGGCCUUCGGGUUGUAAAGCACUUUUGUCCGGAAAGAAAUCCUGUCGGCUAAUACCCGGCGGGGAUGACGGUACCGGAAGAAUAAGCACCGGCUAACUUCGUG
rnacentral:rRNA from 1 species